rnacentral:rRNA from 1 species
UACGUAGGGUGCAAGCGUUAAUCGGAAUUACUGGGCGUAAAGCGUGUGUAGGCGGCUAUGUAAGUCGGAUGUGAAAGCCCCGGGCUCAACCCGGGAAGUGCACUCGAUACUGCGUAGCUUGAGUCUCGGAGAGGUUGGUGGAAUUCUCGGUGUAGAGGUGAAAUUCGUAGAUAUCGAGAGGAACACCGGUGGCGAAGGCGGCCAACUGGACGAAGACUGACGCUGAGACACGAAAGCGUGGGGAGCAAACAGG